rnacentral:rRNA from 1 species
ACCACGACUCUCGACAAUGGAUAUC